GAGCUCUAGCUUGCUAGAGUGGAAAGUGGCGAAAGGGUGAGUAACACGUGAAUAAUCUACCCUCAAGUCGGGGAUAGCCUCUGGAAACGGAGAUUAAUACCGGAUGUGGUAAUCAGAUCGCAUGUUCUGAUUACUAAAAUCUUUUUGCUUGAGGAUGAGUUCGCGGCCCAUUAGCUAGUUGGUAGGGUAACGGCCUACCAAGGCUCUGACGGGUAGGUGGUCUGAGAGGAUGGUCACCCACACUGGGACUGAGACACUGCCCAGACUCCUACGGGAGGCUGCAGUCGAGAAUCUUCCGCAAUGGGCGAAAGCCUGACGGAGCAAUGCCGCGUGAACGAUGACGGUCUUCGGAUUGUAAAGUUCUGUCACCAGGGACGAAAUUUGACGGUACCUGGAGAGGAAGUGACGGCUAACUACGUGCCAGCAGCCGCGGUAAUACGUAGGUCACGAGCGUUAAUCGGAUUUAUUGGGCGUAAAGGGUCCGCAGGGGGUUUAUUAAGUCUGAUGUGAAAGCCGGCGGCUCAACCGCUGAACUGCAUUGGAAACUGAUGAACUGGAGUAUCGGAGAGGAAAGUGGAAUUCCUGGUGUAGCGGUGGAAUGCUUAGAUAUCAGGAGGAUCAUCAAUGGCGAAGGCAGCUUUCUGGACGAUUACUGACCCUCAUGGACGAAAGCGUGGGUAGCAAACAGGAUUAGAUACCCUGGUAGUCCACGCUGUAA
rnacentral:rRNA from 1 species